UAAUUGGAGACCAUUCAACAGGUGAAUCAUUCAAUCUAAACAUCUGCAUAUUUACAUUCUUUCAUCAAAAGAACUCUCAAGUUGAUAAUCCCCAACAUUGGAACUCUAGAACACCUAAGUCCAAAUAAUUUAGAUCUACUUAGAAAAUGCAGUUAACUUAAUAUCUAAUUUUUCACAUGAAAAUUCUCAGUUGGCUCUCAAAGUUUCAAAACUAGAGAUUCAGCUUGAUAACAAAUUUUGUUUAAAAAAGUGAAUGGAAAUUCCGUAUCUGUAAGAAUCAUCUUACAAUAAAGUCUAUUGAUAUUUCAAGAAUAUUAUUGUUUUACCCAGGUGUCUGCCAAGGGGGUUGUG
rnacentral:misc_RNA from 1 species